rnacentral:lncRNA from 1 species
UUAAGUGAAGAGCUGCAGUGGUUCAGUUAAACCAGGAAGUGGCACUGUUUGAAAGGAAUGAGAAGCCAACCUGCUCUGCAGCUCCCAUAAAGGCCAAUUCGCAAGGAGACAGACACAGUGGUGAUUCCCAAAGGAGGAUUUCAGGGUGUUGAGAUGCCAUGGAGAGCCAGGGUAAGCUGCACAGGAGAGGUGCAUGCCCCUUUCUGUUGAGAUUUCCAGGCUGUCUCUUGCCAGGAACACCGCAGAGGAGUGACAAAGAUGACCUUUGUAGUCAAAAACCAAAAAGGCAGAACUGUGAUGGCCAGCAGCUGGCAUGGAGGCCUCACAGUGGUAAGUAACCCUGACCAUAACUCGACCAGCCUACACCAUUAGAGAAAAAGAAGCAAACAUCUCUAUGCAGAAGGCGCUGAGAUGUUGAGAUGUAAACAACGGAGGCCAGCCAGUCCCAGGUGAGCAUGUACACAGGCAGCUAUUGCCAGGGAGCUGGGUGGUAACAAAAUUGUAGCCAAUUGGGACCGAACAUGAGGUUUUUGAAAACUCUGUAAAAGAAAGCUGUAAACAAUAAAAUUUGCUGUUGCCGCAUGAACAGGGUACUGUCAUGUCCUGUCCCUCUCAACUGCGACAAAAGGGAAACUAUUAACCAAUCAUUAUAAGUUGCCUGUACUCGGAAAGUUACUAACUU